CGGUGGGGACGCGGAGACUGCGCGCACAAGGAGGACGCGGGCGUGCGUUGCUUGGGUCUGGGAAGAUCUGAGGCAUCUCCUGAAGAAGCGAUCUAUGAUGUCAUUGGGGAAAUGCCACUAGCAGGACUGUACGAGGAAAUCGUGGAGGCCGAGGCCGUGCCCCAGGAUGAGGAGGACGCAGGUGUGGUGAAGGUGGACACAGAAACAGCAGUUUCAGGGGAGGCGUCUAACCUCCUGGAGGGACAGUCUACACGUGCAGAGGGAGGAACCAACAGACCCGUUUCUCAGGGAUAUGACGAGGCUGCGUUUCCGCUGGAGGAUAUGACAUUUUAAAGCACCCUGAGGAGGAGAUCCACCAGCUGGCUGUCGAAAUCACAGCUCUUCAUUCUCUUGUACAAUUGUAGUGGAUUUCGUGAGAACGUCUUGGAUGAAUUUCUCUUGCAAUGUCCUCCACAUCCGUAUAAAAUCCAGUCUUUCCAGGCCCUGCCUGGCUCUAACCCCCAUCCCCUUCGAGGGCCAUCUGCUGUGGACGGUUGGGCUGGGUAACCUUCAGAUUUCUCACACAUUAUAGCAAACGCAAAUAUGUAUAGAAAUCAGUGGUUACGUUUGUGGUUUAGAGACACAUGGUGUCAUCUUCAUCUUCUGCACCCAGCAGUGCGUUGCAGAACUUCUCAUGCCAGAACAUUCCUCUUUUUUCUUAAAAACUCUUCUUAAUUGAAUCCAAAGUAUCUUUUAGAUAUCUACUUGUGUAAUCAUGUCAUCCGUGAAUAUUCAGAUUUAUCUUCUCCUUCCAAUCCAUGUACCUUUAAUCUCUUUUUCUGUGCUUUAUUUUGUGGACUGGGACCCUUCAGUCCAGUGUUGAAUAGAGGCAGCCAAUGGGGAUCUUGUCUCAUUCAUGGACUCAGAGCAAACGUGUUCCACAUUUAAUUUCACUAUUAAAUAUAAUAUUUGAUGUUCGGUUUUGUAGAUGCUAUUUAUCAGAUCAAGGAAAGCCCAGUCUAUCCCUAAUUUGUUAAGGGUUUUGCUUUUUAUCAUAAAUAAGUGUUGACUUUUAUGAAAUUCUUUUUGGUAUCUAUUAAGAUGAUAGAUGAUUUGAUUUUCAUAUGUUACAUUAACCAUGGGUUAAACAAACUUACCUUUAUCAUGAUAUAUUAUUCUUUUUGUAUUUCACAGGAAUUAGUUUGGUAAUACAUUGGGUCAGUGUUUAAAAAAGAAAAUGAUGUGUGAUUUUUUUCUUUUGUUGUAGUAUUUCUGUUUAAUUUUUGCUAUGAGGAUUAUUCAGGUACCAUAAGAGGUAGGAGUAUAUUCUCUUUUUAAAAAUAUUUGCUAAUUUAGGCUCCCACCAACAGUGUAAAAAUGUUCCUAUUU